rnacentral:lncRNA from 1 species
UGGGUACUUCAAUACAGGUGUCUGGGGAAGAUGGUUGGGGACAGUAGGCAUGAGAAUCGUGCUUCAUGCAGAGAGGCCAGGGUGGUUAGUGGCCACAAGUACUCAGGUGCCUUUCAUAGGCCAGGCAUGUGUUGUCAGUGUGAAUAGAGAUGCAUGUAGAUGCCCGAGAUGCAAUGGACAUGUGAGUGCAGGGGUCUGCAGAUGUGAUAACUGGAAGGUUUCACUCUGAGUGCAGGUGCUUACAGAGGCAACAGAGAAGAAUUGGACAUGGGACUACAGUUGCCUGCUGAGGACACAGGUGCUAUGAAUAUGUGUGUGCAGCUUUGCACAGAGGCCAUUGUGCCUGUGAGUUCAUGUUCCUGCUGAGGACAGAUUGCAAUGGAGAAA